rnacentral:rRNA from 1 species
UACGUAGGGGGCAAGCGUUGUCCGGAUUUAUUGGGCGUAAAGAGCGUGUAGGCGGCUUUACAGGUCCGUUGUGAAAACUCGAGGCUCAACCUCGAGACGCCGGUGGAAACCGUAAGGCUAGAGUCCGGAAGAGGAGAGUGGAAUUCCUGGUGUAGCGGUGAAAUGCGCAGAUAUCAGGAGGAACACCCGUGGCGAAAGCGGCUCUCUGGGACGGGACUGACGCUGAGACGCGAAAGCGUGGGGAGCAAACAGG